CCUACGGGAGGCAGCAGUGAGGAAUAUUGGUCAAUGGGCGGGAGCCUGAACCAGCCAAGCCGCGUGAGGGAAGAAGGUGCAGCGUAUCGUAAACCUCUUUUGUCAGGGAACAAAGUCUGGGACUAGUCCCCGUAUGAGUGUACCUGAAGAAAAAGCAUCGGCUAACUCCGUGCCAGCAGCCGCGGUAAUACGGAGGAUGCGAGCGUUAUCCGGAUUUAUUGGGUUUAAAGGGUGCGCAGGCGGCCUGUUAAGUCAGCGGUAAAAGCCCGGGGCUCAACCCCGGCGAGCCGUUGAAACUGGCGGGCUGGAGUUGGAGAGAAGUACGCGGAAGGCGCGGUGUAGCGGUGAAAUGCUUAGAUAUCGCGCAGAACCCCGAUUGCGAAGGCAGCGUACCGGCUCCACACUGACGCUGAGGCACGAAAGCGUGGGUAUCGAACAGGAUUAGAUACCCUUGUAGUC
rnacentral:rRNA from 1 species